CAAAUGCCAAGGUGAGGCAGGCGAUACCAGACUGGGCUACAUCACCCAACCAGCUUACAUGAGACCCAGGGGGAAGGGAGAUAACCAGGGGAGGUGUGGUG